AUGUCGAGAACCUCACGUCCAGCCACCAACUCGGCUCGCCACUACCACCACCACCUCCGAAUUCCCUAUCCAAAAUCGAGCCUAAAUCUAUAAGUAUCGGAAACGCACAUCACCUCUGAACCUCUCUACUUUCACUAGCCAUAGCUCCUCAAAUUCUGGCAGUUCCUUGACAUACCACCGCCGGUGCCCUGCCUCAAAGAUUAAGAGGAUUGGAAACUAGAAGCUUGGGUAUCCACCGAGGCUAAGAAUUCGCACCAACAUCACCGAUGGAGCUCUAAGCUUCAUGAUCUUUGAUUUCCAACUUCCGGCGACGUUCUGGCCUUCCCAUCACCAAAAUCAGGGUCGGUACCUCUCGUAUAGAAGAACCCCUAAUCGUAUCUCUAGAUUUGACUAGCUCCACAGUCGUUGCCGCCGCACCUCCGCCGCUAGCUCCACCACCCACGGUGGCUAGGUUUUAUAGAACUUCUUUGUAUCAGAGGUUGAAGGAAAUCCCUGUUUGGAGUACUUGAAGCAUCAACUUUUCUAGACCGGUCGGAAAUAAGAAACAGUGCACUAUAGUGGGAGGCAUAGUCAUUGGAGAUUGCUGCAAGGGGAGGCACUGGCCAAACAUUGGAGCUGUUAUCAGAGCCACAUGCAGAGAAAACAAAGGAGGAUGAGAUAAUGGUGGUGGUGGAGCAAGGGAGGUUCGUCGGGUGUUAGGGCCAGUAUUAUGCUGCUUGUCAUUGUCCGGAUGUUCAUGCACAAUGUCUUUGAGUAACAGAAAUAUAAAGAGAAAGAGACAAAGUGUCUAAAUUGAGCAGUAGUGAUCCAAGAGAUAAGAGCAAAGCAGGAAACGAAAGGUGAGUCUGGCGAUGUAUUGAUGGUGGAAGGUUAUCAAACGGUGGAUUAAUGCAAUAAAACCCAUGGACAGUUCUGUGGAGACUGUUUGUAUAUGAGAUAUGGGGAGCAUGUAUUUGAGGCCAUUCAGAAGCAAGCAGGAAGCAUAAGCAUUAACACAAAACUUAAGCCAUACUAUGGCUGAGAGUGGCAUUGCUGAUCAGAUAUGACUAACGUAGUUGACAUUAGAUGUAAGACUUUGAUGUUAUAUAAGGUAGUUCGCAAUAUCAUACUUGUUUAUAUUGAAACAAGGAAUUUCUUGUUGUUAAGAAUAAUUAACUCAGGUGGAAAUCAUGUGAUUUUUGAGGUUAGUAUUUUAUAAGGGUUUAGAUGCACCUGUAACUUCACUGAUUUGUGUUUUACUUUUUAUAAGCAUCACAUGAUUUUUUUUGUUUAUUGAAGGUUUUUGUUUUAAUGCAACAGAUGUUGAUAUGCUUGAGAAUGUGGGGUAUUUGGGGAGCAGAACCAGCGCGAUGAUGCCUAUUUUGCAUAAUAUCGGAACUGUAGUAGCUCAAUAACGACAUGCAUGCCUAUUUUUCUGUGUUGUUUACGAGGUUGCCUACAUUGUAGGGUUAGUUAUCUUUUAUUUUAUUGAUUAGCUUGCAAUUUGCCUGCAUAUAUUUGAACCAUUUGCAUAAAUGUAACGAUGUAGAUCAUUUUUUGGUUUAUGAAUGAGCAAAUGUUUUC